GAAUACGAGCUUUGGACAAUGGUCCGAAGCGGAAAGGCCCUCAGGGGUCGUCCGGAGAUGAGCCUGCGGUCCAUUAGCUAGUUGGUGUGGUAAAGGCGCACCAAGGCAACGAUGGAUAGCCGGCCUGAGAGGGUGAUCGGCCACACUGGGACUGAGACACGGCCCAGACUCCUACGGGAGGCAGCAGCUAAGAAUCUUCCGCAAUGGGCGAAAGCCUGACGGAGCGACGCCGCGUGAACGAUGAAUGUCGUGAGAUUGUAAAGUUCUUUUCCUGGGGAGGAAUAAGGUUCGGAGGGAAUGCCGAAUCGAUGACGUGAACCGGGGAAUAAGCCCCGGCUAAUUCCGUGCCAGCAGCCGCGGUAACACGGAAGGGGCAAGCGUUGUUCGGAUUUAUUGGGCGUAAAGGGCGUGUAGGCGGCACUACAAGUCUGGUGUGAAAUACUCCGGCUCAACCGGAAAACGCGCUGGAAACUGUAGUGCUUGAGUUUAGGAGGGGGAACUGGAAUUCCAGGUGUAGGGGUGAAAUCUGUAGAGAUCUGGAAGAACACCGGAGGCGAAGGCGAGUUCCUGGCCAUAAACUGACGCUGAGGCGCGAAAGCGUGGGGAGCGAACAGGAUUAGAUACCCUGGUAGUCCACGCCGUAAACGAUGUGCACUAGGUGUCGGGGAUGAUGAUCCUCGGUGCCGCAGCUAACGCGUUAAGUGCACCGCCUGGGGAGUAUGCUCGCAAGGGUGAAACUCAAAGGAAUUGACGGGGGCCCGCACAAGCGGUGGAGCAUGUGGUUUAAUUCGAUACGCGAGAAACCUUACCAGGGUUUGACAUAUAGUGGACGGCGGUAGAGAUACCGCUUCUCUUCGGAGUCGCUAUACAGGUGCUGCAUGGCUGUCGUCAGCUCGUGCCGUGAGGUGUUGGGUUAAGUCCCGCAACGAGCGCAACCCCUGCUGUCCGUUACUAACAGGUAAUGCUGAGGACUCAGACGGUACUGCCGGUGACAAACCGGAGGAAGGUGGGGACGGCGUCAAGUCAUCAUGGCCCUUAUGUCCUGGGCUACACACGUGCUACAAUGGCCGGUACAGAGCGCUGCAAAACCGCGAGGUUGAGCAAAUCGCAGAAAACCGGUCCCAGUUCGGAUUGAAGUCUGAAACUCGACUUCAUGAAGGUGGAAUCGCUAGUAAUCGCGCAUCAGCAUGGCGCGGUGAAUAUGUUCCCGGGCCUUGUACACACCGCCCGUCACACCACCCGAGUUGGGGGUACCCGAAGUCGCUCGUCUAACCUGUAAGGGAGGACGGUGCCGAAGGUAUGCCUGGUAAGGGGGGUGAAGUCGAAACAAGGUA
rnacentral:rRNA from 1 species